UACUACGUCUCUGACGCAGAGCGGGCUGAGAGACCAGGCCUGCUCCAGGCCUGGUUGAUGGUACCACUCCUGAGCUCAUGGAGAGCAUGCUGUCCUUGCUAGUGUAGCCGGAAGGGCUACUCGCUUUUCCUUUCUCUCUCGCCCCCACUUGCGCUACUGCUUUCUCUCUCUCUCCUGUGCUUGCUCCCGCUGCGCGCUUACGUCAACUAGGAGCCCACCUGUAUAUUGAUUACAGGGCGGCGUUUACCUGUAUAAAGAGAAGCCGGGUUCUUUCGUUGGAUUAUUUCCUCCCGAGCUUCUGGUGCGAUACAGCGGUAGACGCUGGCUUGUUGGUUAAAUUACUGAGGCGAUCAGGUCGUGUGAUUGCUACAGCGCGGCUGUUUUUCUUUCCUUUGCUCCAGCCGUGGUGAGGAGACGCGUGAGUGCAUCCGCCGUGCAGUACAGCGCCUCCAAGUUCUGGGGGUUUGAUUGCUGCCGUGCCCUCUCGGGGACCAACCGCCUGCUUUGGUUACGUAGAGAGUCGGGCGCCUGCUCUGCUGCUGUCUUGUCUUGCCUUGUUUUAUCUUGUGUUCCGAUCUGUUGGUUGUCCAGUUUUGUUCCUGCUGCUUGUCUCGCCUCGCCCCUGGGGGCUUAGGGUCUCACGCUAAGCCCCUUUUGGACUAUCGUUUCACUCCAGCUUUCGCGGCGGGUCGGGGCGAUCCUCAGCUGCAUAUUGGGCUGGUGUUACAAAACUGGUACUGCCUCUCCCUUUUCUCCCAGUUGUGGAGAGCUGCGCGAGACUGAGUGGGGCUACGGACAAUCGGAACCAGCACCAGCUGUGGGCUGGCUCUUAGAGUACAAGUACUUCUAAUCUGUGCUCUGUGGUGUGUAUGUGGGUGUGUUUUAUUGCAGAUCUCCGUUUUUCUUGUAAUUUCUUUUUUUAGUAUAUAGAGAGCCUGUCUUAUGUCCCAUGUUUUUAUCCUUUUAAUGUGUAUGUCUUGUGUUUUUAUUUCAGCGAACUGAGGAUCUACCAGCGGCCGUGGGACCUUAGGUGGCGGGUCGUUUUCCACACUUCUUUUGUUGUACAGCACCAGGAAUGGAUGACGACGAAUCAUUCUUCACUCAUCUCUUCCACAAAUAGUUGCCGGCUCCAGUGCGAGCUGGCCUUGUCAACUCCUUGCUGCUGGUUGCGAAGGAUUACCGCUCAUUCACAGAAGAAGCGGAUCGCCUGGCUACUAGGAGCUUCGGCUUCCAGCUGAUAUGUCCGACAGCAUCUCCCGCGCCUCCACUGAUUCUCCCGGUGGCUAGUGAUGUGCGGAUCGAUCCUGAAAUAUCGAUUCCUCUGAUACCAAUCAUUUAUGUUCUAGAAUCGAUUCUCACAUUAAAAUAUCGAUAUUUUAGUAAUUUAGGGUAAAUAUGUAGUUUAUCAUUAACAGGAACACAGUGGAAAGAAACUAUAACAUUCGGAUUGUCUACAUUUGAAGGAACUACUUCCUCUUCCGCCUUUCAUAGUCAUGUGCGAAAUACGGCUGUAUAAAUGUCUUGCAGCCCCUUGGCGU